rnacentral:rRNA from 1 species
GACGAACGCUGGCGGCGUGCUUAACACAUGCAAGUCGAACGCUGAAGCUUGGUGCUUGCACUGGGUGGAUGAGUGGCGAACGGGUGAGUAAUACGUGAGUAACCUGCCCUUGACUCUGGGAUAAGCCUGGGAAACUGGGUCUAAUACUGGAUACGACAUGCCACUGCAUGGUGGUGUGUGGAAAGGGUUUUACUGGUUUUGGAUGGGCUCACGGCCUAUCAGCUUGUUGGUGGGGUAAUGGCCUACCAAGGCGACGACGGGUAGCCGGCCUGAGAGGGUGACCGGACACACUGGGACUGAGACACGGCCCAGACUCCUACGGGAGGCAGCAGUGGGGAAUAUUGCACAAUGGGCGGAAGCCUGAUGCAGCGACGCCGCGUGAGGGAUGACGGCCUUCGGGUUGUAAACCUCUUUCAGCACGGAAGAAGCGAGAGUGACGGUACGUGCAGAAGAAGCGCCGGCUAACUACGUG